rnacentral:rRNA from 1 species
GAAUUUUCCCGAAUGGGGCGAAACCCUGACGAACCAAGACCGGGGGGGGAAAAAAGGUUUUGGGUUUUAAACCUCUUUUUCUCUGGAAAAAAUCCUGACGGUACCAGAGGAAUAAGCAUCGGCUAACUCCGUGCCAGCAGCCGCGGUAAUACGGAGGAUGCAAGCGUUAUCCGGAAUUAUUGGGCGUAAAGCGUCCGUGGGUGGCUUUUCAAGUCGGCGGUUAAAGACCGGGGCUUAACUCCGGAAAGGCCGUGGAAACUGAAAAGCUAGAGUGCGGUAGGGGUAGGGGGAAUUCCCGGUGUAGCGGUAUAAUGCGUAGAGAUCGGAAAGAACACCGGUGGCGAAGGCCCCCUACUGGGCCGCAACUGACACUGAGGGACGAAAGCUAGGGGAGCGAAUGGGAUUAGAUACCCCAAGUAGUCAAGAUCCCC